UGCCAUUCUCAGCCUUGACUGUGUCAUUGAACUUGCCAUGGGUCAUACUGUAAUAUGUAGACAAUUUAGUUGAGGUUAAUGAAGGUGUCAUUGAUGGCAACAGUCUCCACUUUGUAGCUGCAGAACAGAAGGCAGCCCUGAUAACCAGGUGCCCAAUAUGGCCAAAUCCAUUAACACAGAAUGUCAUCAUCACGUCUACAGAAUCAAGCUGGUCCUCAUGGGAAGAUGCAGCUGUCUCUGAAACAGGGAGGAGCAGAGAACCUUCUUUUAUUUUUUUUUAAGGGAAUUACUUAUAUCCUCUUUAAGGGCCUCCCUCUAUCAUCUUCAUGAGAUGGAAUUUAAGGUGUGUUAGGGUAUCCAGGGAUUGCUGUAAUAGGAGAACUGGGUCCUGAUGGUGCCAAAUUGCAAUGCCUCCUGUGAGUUAUGUUCUUCUGCUUUUCAUUUGCCAUCUGGUUGUUUGGUGUUAACUGGUCUGGGUGUCCAGGAUUGGGGCAGGCCUCACUGGAACCAGGGUGAACUGUGUGUCCCAGGUUAGAGCAGGCCUCCUGUGAGGCAGGCAGUGCUCUGUCUCUGGUUACACCAGGCCUACUGUCCUACCUCUGGGAUCAAAACUUCUAGGCCAGCAGAAGUUUGGGGUGUGGGAACAGGAAGUAAAAACGUUGCUAGUGGGUCACUAGGCAUGAUAGUAAGUGGACCUGUUCCCUUUCUACCCCUUGAUUCCUGGACCCAUGAUUCCCAGCUAUGGGAGACACUGUACCAUGUACGGAAUACUGAUUCAAAGCAUAUACUGCUUUCUGGAGAACCCUGUUUUAGCCAUUCAUGCUCCUGCCACCUAUUUGGUGCUAUCACUGUGUCUUCAAAAGGACAUUCCAUUUCUCUGUCAUGUCAUCUCACUUCAGGAUGGUGGUGUACAAGAAGCUCUCCAAUGUAUUGCUGGCUGGUCACUUCAGUGAAUGGUGCUACAUCUGGGGCUCAGUUUUGGUCUCUGGUGAUGGCAGAUGUGGCAUCCAGCAGCAGCUGUAGCCAGGUCAGCCUUGGUGAGUGAAUUACCAUGUUUUUGAACCGAAGCAUGAACACAUCUUGCCAACAUGGCCACUUUGUUCAUGUGUACAUCAAGCAAUGGCAGGGAUGGCUGGGAAUUGAUUUACUAAACAAGAUUGCCAACUAAAGUUGGUUUCUAACAACUUUGGGCUACCCCUUUUCAGUUUCAUUAUGUGGUGGCAUGGUAGGCUCUUAUCUAAAUUCUUCUUUCCCUUACUGAAUAUUCUUCUUAUUUUUAUUUAUUUCUCUUUCUAAGUUUUGUGUAAAUUCCAGUCUGUGUCUGAAUAUUUUGAUAUUAAAUCUUUUUAAGGCUUGCUUAAAUUCCUUUGUCUGAAUCGGAGUAUUUUGGUCAUAUUCAUUUACAAGACUUUCCAUUUUCAGCUAGAGAAAGCACCCAAGGAGGUGAAAGAGUCUGCAACCCUAGGUGGAACAACAAUAUGAACUAACCAAUACCCCCGGAGCUUGUGUCUCUAGCUGCAUAUGUAGCAGAAGAUGGACUAGUUGGCAGUCACUAGGAAGAGAGGCCCCUUUAUCUGCCCCAGUACCGGGGAAUGCCAGGGCCAAGAAAUGGGA
rnacentral:lncRNA from 1 species